rnacentral:rRNA from 1 species
AUUGAACGCUGGCGGCAUGCUUUACACAUGCAAGUCGAACGGUAACAGGCCGCAAGGUGCUGACGAGUGGCGAACGGGUGAGUAAUGCAUCGGAACGUGCCCAGUCGUGGGGGAUAACGCAGCGAAAGCUGCGCUAAUACCGCCUACGAUCUCUGGAUGAAAGCGGGGGACCGAAAGGCCACGCGCGAUUGGAGCGGCCGAUGUCAGAUUAGGUAGUUGGUGGGGUAAAGGCCCACCAAGCCAAUGAGCUGUAGCUGGUCUGAGAGGACGACUAGCCACACUGGGACUGAGACACGGCCCAGACUCCUACGGGAGGCAGCAGUGGGGAAUUUUGGACAAUGGGCGCAAGCCUGAUCCAGCAAUGCCGCGUGCAGGAAGAAGGCCUUCGGGUUGUAAACUGCUUUUGUACGGAACGAAACGGUCCUGGUUAAUACCUGGGGCUAAUGACGGUACCGUAAGAAUAAGCACCGGCUAACUACGUGCCAGCCGCCGCAGUAAGAC